GUUCAUUACUUCAGUAAGCAAACAUAUAAAGAGGAAAGGUGCUAACCAACCAGAGGGUGACACGCUGUCAUUCAUUUCAGCUUUGUGUUUCAUUCCCAUGCCCACAAGAUAUUUAUUAUGAGUGAUUUCUGCAGUCCCGGAAAGUGUUCAAAGAGCUAGAAAACAUUGUCAGAACAGUUGCUGUUAAGUUCAGCAGAAGCAGAAAGGGGCUUUUCCAAGAUGAAUAUAAUAUGUUCAGAGAAGAGAAGACACCUGUUUGUAAUAUAUCAAACACAGUGACUGUUAUCUAAUUGGCCUACCUCCAAAGGAAUGGGAACCUACUUCUACAGUGACAAGAUGGUUAAGGAUACAUCACACAGCUGCUGAUGCUGGGAUGAAAGUGAAGAAUAUUGCAAGUGAGGAGGCCAAUCAAGAAGCAAUAUGGAAAUGUCUUAAGAGGCAUAGUAACUGCAUGUGGAGAGAAGAUCCUGGUGACUCUUUGAAGCUGGAGGAGAUUUCUUCUCAACUGUCCGGUUCAUCAUACAGACGAUUGCAUGAUGUUACAUAAAAAGUUAAUAUGAAGGAAGCAGAUUGUAUGUGAUUUUUCUAUUUCCUUUACAGAUUUUGUAGGUCUAAGAUUUUUUGAAAGAAAUAAUAAUCCUAUAAAAGAAAGUAAGCAUAUCUAGCAGCAUAUGCAAUAUUAAACAGUUGCCUGCAGAAAUAUAAAACCCAAUCCAAAGUUCUUUCCUUCAAUCCAAUAGCAUGUGCACUCUUUUUAGUAAUAUAUGAAUGAUGGCUUUUUAAUAUGUCCAUAGUCACUUUAAUAUAUGUAUAAAAUUAGAAAUAGUAGUACCAAUACAAUUUGUUUUAUAUUUAAAAUAAGGGAGACAGCUCAAAAUAAACAUGCUGUUGCUUUUUCCCAUGCAUUUUAUUUAUAGAAUCCAGAGACUCUUUGAAUAAACAUUAAAGAUAAUACAGUCAUAAAAUUUCCCUCUACAUUCUUAAAUGAGAAAAUAAGAAAGCAAAAUUAGUAACAAGACAGUAACAAGAAAAUUGUUCGUAUAAAUACGCUGUGACAUUAUGAAGCUGUUUGGAAAAUUUUGAAAUGGCAAUUUAGACCAAGUGCCACCAUUUUCUUUGCAUUUACUAGAUCCCAAAUAUUAACUCACUGAGACUGUGAUCUCACUUGGAAGAUAUGUAACCAACCACAGGUGACUGCAUUUUAUUAGACAAUGUUCUUUUAUCUUUGGGUGUCAUGCUUGCCAUAGAUUGAUUCCAACUCAUGGAAAGCCCAUGUAUCCAGAGUAAAACCGUGUUAUAUACAG